rnacentral:rRNA from 1 species
CCCGGUUACGGGGAAAGGCCGGGACCUUCGGGCCUGGCGCGAUUGGAUGAGCCCACGUCGGAUUAGCUAGUUGGCGGGGUAAAGGCCCACCAAGGCGACGAUCCGUAGCUGGUCUGAGAGGAUGAUCAGCCACACUGGAACUGAGACACGGUCCAGACUCCUACGGGAGGCAGCAGUAGGGAAUAUUGGACAAUGGGCGCAAGCCUGAUCCAGCCAUGCCGCGUGAGUGAUGAAGGCCCUCGGGUUGUAAAGCUCUUUUGUCCGGAAAGAAAAGCGCCGGGUUAAUACCCUGGCGUCCUGACGGUACCGGAAGAAUAAGCACCGGCUAACUUCGUG